rnacentral:lncRNA from 1 species
AUGGAGUGGGAUGCGUGUUGGUUUGAUUUGGCUUCCUGGAAGCUGCUGGGUUUGCUCUGUCUUUUUCCUGGUGAAAUGGAAACACGGCUUUAUUUGCUCUGUCCCAGUGACCCUCUCAUUGGGCAGGAAUGGUUAAAUGCUGAUCCGUGGUACUCUACCAGUGUGUCUUGUAAUGAUUUGCUCAUUUUUACAAGCCUUGAUUUGGACAGGGGCUCAUCUUGGCACGGCAAAGCCACAGGAUUUAUGGGCAAUUAUACCAAUAUUAAAAAAAAUCUUCCAGACCAGCUAGUAAUACAUGAUUAAUAGAUGCAUUACAUAGAAGUACUCUGGCAGCCAGCUCCUGGCCGCUCAAAUGAUGUCUAAAUCUGCCUUUCUGUGUCGUACACGUACAACACCUCGCUCAGUACCAACCCCAAAGCAUUUGCACGGGGUGCCUGGAGGAUCCAAGCUUGGAAACGCAGCCAGGUUCAGGUUCGUUACAGGUUCUGGACCACAGCCUGCUCCGUGUAAAUGCAGUAAUCAGCAUCCUCCUGCGUGGCUGCGGACCAGGAGCAAUCCCAGGAACUUCUUUGGCCUCUCUUCUGGAGCAGGUGCCUGUGCAGAGCAGGAAGGUGCUUGCCCUUGGUUGUGUACAGCCUGAGUUCUCCCGUGCAGGAUGGGGUGGGUGUGUGUGUCCAUGCCCCUGCUGGCUUAGGGGGUGGCAGUGACCAGGACAACUCCAUCAGGCUGCGGGUGGACAUGGGAGAAGGGAAACGCAGGCAUCUGUUCUGCUUCAUCUUUUAUAUUGGAUUGCUCCUACAUCAUCAAAAAUCUGCCAUGGUGUACAAAAUCCCAUUGACAUGCUAACCCCAAAGAGUUCCAAAGAUGGGCUUGGGAACUCUGUUGGAUGCCAAACUCAGUGAAGAUGGAUUUUAAUGUCACAUCAGUCCCCCUUUCACCUCUGACAGUCCCUAGGCCAUCCCUCAGCAUCUCCCCCUCCUCUGGCGGGUGGUAAUCCCUCUCCCUCUUUGUCUCAAGCCCCGCUGGGACAGUCUGGAGAGCUGGAGGGCUGCUGCAUGUCUGCUGGGAUCACAAAAUCAUGUUAGGUUGGAAGAGACCUCCAAGAUCGCCUACUCCAACCUGUUACCUUGUGCUGUUGGUGCUGCAGGGUCUUCUACCCCGUAAUUUCAGUUCUGAAGUGCCUUAAGUCCUCUCAAAGAACAGCUCGGUGCCCUUCUCCCACUGUGUGCGCAUAUUUACCACCUGCAGUGGUUGUUAUUCGCGCUGCCCUGACGUGCCUGCACACUUCACAGCAUGCGCAUCACCCUGGAGGACCCGAGCCGUGCUGCGAGCCCAGGUUCUGCGGGAGCAGCAAGGUGCUGCCAGCCUCUUGUGAAACGUCUCGUUUAUCUCACCUGGGCUUCUAGGUGAUUUUCUCAAGGUGCGUGGAGCUGAGCAGCUCCAUCUCUGCGAUUCUCUCCUCCUGCAGGCAUGUCGGCUUAUUGCAUUAGGUCCAUGCAAACAUCAGUUGCACCAUUCCAACAGAGAAAUGUGCUCUUAGCAGCUGUCAAAACUUCCUGCUCAAUAUAUUCAUUGCUGUCUAUAGACAGUUCUGCCAGCAAAAGCAGAAACAAGUCCUGAUUAGCACUCAGCUAAGCUGAAAGUCCUGACUGCUGUACAUAAAAUAGGUUUAAAUCUUUGUUGUCGCUCCUGAAGUCUGGUUUUUAAUUUUAGCACCUUAAUUGGGACUUCAUAGCUGUGACAUCAAUCCUGCAGCUGAUGAAUACGCAGAUAAAAUGUCCUGUUCUGGUUGCUGACACUGUAGUUUGAGGCUGUGAUUUUGGGAGUUUUUUUUUUUGUUUUUUUUUUUUGAGUCAGGCAGUGAUAAAUUUGUACUGAAAGUUACAGGGGGGUUCGAAUACCUGUACCACAACUGUGUUGUUUGUUUGUUUGUUUUUGUCAUUCCUGUUGUCACACCAUUAAUUCUAAUGUUUUUCAUCUCUGGCUAUUUGAAUUUACAUUGAUUUUUCUCUCUAAGCACAUCUGUAACUCUAGCAGUCCAAUCAAUUAAUAAGUAUCUUUCUAGGCACAGAGGCUGUUUGGUCUGAGCAUGGCACAGCAUUUUAACUUUGAAACGUUCGGCUUCCACUUCGGAUGAAACAGCAGAAAGUGUAAAAACAAGAGCAAACACUUGAUCCUGUUACUUUACCUGCAUAUUUGCUCAUGGGGGCUGUUCUGGGUCUUGGAAUAUAUUUAUUUAUUUAUUUAUUUAUUUCUUCUCUUGCAUGAGGGAGGGCUUAGAUUUCUCGCACAGCUGUGUGUAUCUGAGCAGGUUUUGUG